GACGAACGCUGGCGGCGUGCUUAACACAUGCAAGUCGAACGGAAAGGCCCCUUUGGGGGUACUCGAGUGGCGAACGGGUGAGUAACACGUGAGUAACCUGCCCUUGACUUCGGGAUAACUUCAGGAAACUGGGGCUAAUACCGGAUAGGAAUCCUUGCUGCAUGGUGGGGGUUGGAAAGCUUCGGCGGUUUUGGAUGGACUCGCGGCGUAUCAGCUUGUUGGUGGGGUAGUGGCUUACCAAGGCUUUGACGGGUAGCCGGCCUGAGAGGGCGACCGGCCACAUUGGGACUGAGAUACGGCCCAGACGCCUACGGGAGGCAGCAGUGGGGAAUAUUGCACAAUGGGCGGAAGCCUGAUGCAGCAACGCCGCGUGCGGGAUGACGGCCUUCGGGUUGUAAACCGCUUUCAGCAGGGGCGAAGCUUGUGGUGACGGUACCUGCAGAAGAAGCACCGGCUAACUACGUG
rnacentral:rRNA from 1 species